rnacentral:rRNA from 1 species
AUGCCACCGCGUUACGACGGCGUGGCGGAUCCGGUGGCUUUCCUGCUAGCGUACGAGGAAGUCGUGCUCAAGGCCGGGGGCGACGACAAGGUCAUGGCCAACUGGCUUCCCAUGGCCCUGACUGGCGUGCCGCGCACCUGGCUGCUCAACCUCCCUGGAAACACAGUGGCAUCUUGGGAGGAGCUGCACGAUCUCUUCGUCGCGCGCUUCGCGGCACCGACACCCCACGCGGUCGCGGCCCUCCUCGGCGGCUCGCAAGCACCGCCCUCAGAUCGUCACAUCAAGUCGUUCCUUCGCCAGAUCGGCACCACUUCCAAGCGCCCGGGGGCUCCACCGGGCUGGGCCGCGCCCGAGGCUGACCUCACCUUCGACUCAGGGGAUCAUCCCGUCUCCACCGCCAGCUCGGGUAUGCUCCCAAUGCUUUGCACUCCCACCAUCUGCAACGUGGCCUUCACCAAGACCCUCAUCGACGGUGGCGCCGGCCUCAACGUGCUCUCCGUGGAGGCCUUCGGCCUCCUUCACGUACCACUCAAGCGGCUCCGCCUCAACAAGCCUUUCUCAGGAGUUGGUGGCGGCACCACCCACUCCCUGGGGCAGAUCCGCCUUCCUGUCACCUUCGGCACGCACGACAAUUACCGCACUGAGCUGGUCGACUUCGACAUCGCCGCAUCGGCCACCCGUACAACGCCAUCCUCGGGUACCCAGCUCUGGCCCAGUUUAUGA